GACGAACGCUGGCGGCGUGCUUAACACAUGCAAGUCGUACGGUAAGGCCCUUUCGGGGGUCCACGAGUGGCGAACGGGUGAGUAACACGUGAGUAACCUGCCCACAACUUUGGGAUAACGCUAGGAAACUGGUGCUAAUACUGGAUAUGUGCUCCUGCUGCAUGGUGGGGGUUGGAAAGCUCCGGCGGUUGUGGAUGGACUCGCGGCCUAUCAGCUUGUUGGUGGGGUAGUGGCCUACCAAGGCGGCGACGGGUAGCCGGCCUGAGAGGGUGACCGGCCACAUUGGGACUGAGAUACGGCCCAGACUCCUAAGGGAGGCAGCAGUGGGGAAUAUUGCACAAUGGGCGCAAGCCUGAUGCAGCAACGCCGCGUGCGGGAUGACGGCCUUCGGGUUGUAAACCGCUUUCAGCAGGGACGAAGCUUUUUGUGACGGUACCUGCAGAAGAAGCACCGGCUAACUACGUG
rnacentral:rRNA from 1 species